rnacentral:misc_RNA from 1 species
AAGUCGUAACAAGGUUUUCGUAGGUGAACCUGCGGAAGGAUCAUUAGUGAACUCGGGUGCUCAGCUCUGAAAUAUUGAGUCUGGCCCCAUUUCCUAACCAAUUACACACUUGUGCACUUUUCUUCUCUGGGUGUCCGCAAGGAUACUUGGAGAGAAAGCUCUUGUGAUUUUAAACCAGUUGAGAAUGAAACUUUAAUGUUGUUAAAACAACUGCAAACGGUGGAUCUCUUGGCUCUC